ACUAUCAAUGCCAAAAAGAAACACAAGUUAGAAAAAGGAAGAGAAGGAAAGAAAGAAACCAACCCAACUACCACCAAGAAGCUAAUAAACAUUCUCCCAGGUUGAACGGGACAACACCGUGGGAGGCGAAAAGAGGGCGAAAAGGAACGGAUAGGGCGCGAUAACAACGUAACAACAAUAUGUAUUUCGUACUUCAUUAGCCUCUUCGAACCGGGAAGAACACA